AAACUUUCAACAACGGAUCUCUUGGUUCUGGCAACGAUGAAGAACGCAGCGAAAUGCGAUAAGUAAUGUGAAUUGCAGAAUUCCGCGAAUCAUCGAAUCUUUGAACGCACAUUGCGCUCGCCAGUACUCUGGCGAGCAUGCCUGUCCGAGCGUCAUUU
rnacentral:rRNA from 1 species